rnacentral:rRNA from 1 species
CAAUAGCGUAUAUUAAAGUUGUUGCGGUUAAAAAGCUCGUAGUUGGAUUUCUGCCGAGGACGACCGGUCCGCCCUCUGGGUGAGCAUCUGGAUCGGCCUGGGCAUCCUCUUGGGGAACGUAGCUGCACUUGACUGUGUGGUGCGGUAUCCAGGACUUUUACUUUGAGGAAAUUAGAGUGUUUCAAGCAGGCUCACGCCUUGAAUACAUUAGCAUGGAAUAAUAAGAUAGGACCUUGGUUCUAUUUUGUUGGUUUCUAGAGCUGAGGUAAUGAUUAAUAGGGAUAGUUGGGGGCGAUUUUUAUUCCAUUUGUCAGAGGUGAAAUUCUUGGAUUAACGGAAGAAAAACUACAUGCGAAAGCAUCUGCCAAGGAUGUUUUCAUUGAUCAAGAACGAAAGUUAGGGGAUCGAAGAUGAU